UGAUAUUAAAUUGCAAAAAUGAUCAACAGAGAAAAAGAAAUGAUUUUUUCACACAAACCGGAGAGAAGCUGUCUCUCAAAAAGGGAUUCUCAAUAAUAAAAAUUAGACCCAAAAACCUUAAUGAUUAUUAUGAGACAAAGGGUACUUAAGAAAUUUCAUUGGCUACAAAUAUAUUCAUGUGUCUUUUUCUAUUAUUAUUAUUAUUAAAAUCUUCUUUUUUAUAUAAAAUUAAAUCUACAAAAAUAUUCAUUUAUAUAAAAUUAAAGGAAAAAGAAAGAAAUCAAAUUCAGAAAACACAAAACUAAACAUAAAUGGAUCAAAAUUGAGAAAAAUAAUCCUGAAUUGAACACUAAAACUCCAUCAUUUAAUCUCUUUAAAUUUUCAAAAAACAGAGUAGGCGCAAAUGAUCAAAACUAUGAGCUUAAUAUUUUCUAUUUAUUUUUAUGUAUAAAAACAAUGAAAAUUUAAAUCUCCAUAAGUCAGUUAAUUGUAUUAAGCUCGUUUGAUACAAGCUGUUUGUUUUCUCAGGUCCUGUAAAAGCAUUCAAUAUUAAUUUAAAGAAUAAAUAGUCUAAAAUAGCAGCAAUUAAAAUUAUAUACUUAUGUUCGCAGAGAGAGAGAGAGAGAGCUUACGAUCAACUACUGCGAGAGCUUUGGAGUCAUCAACAGGCUUCUCUUGAUCAUGUAAUUGAGUAACAGCUUUCUCCUCCGCGACGUCGUUGUUGGGGACAGCCGGAGCCGGAGCUGGAGCAAGAGCUGGAGCUGGAGCUGGGGCCGCUGGCGUCUCAGCUUCUACUUUCUUCACUUGCUCCUCUGCCAUUAUCGUCUACAGAGACUUCGCGUAUAC
rnacentral:lncRNA from 1 species